rnacentral:rRNA from 1 species
CUUUGACGCACAUUGCGCCCCUUGGUAUUCCAGGGGGCAUGCCUGUUUGAGCGUCAUUUCCUUCUCAAACAUUCUGUUGGGUAGUGAGUGAUACUCUUUGGAGUUAACUUGAAAUUGCUGGCCUUUUUCAUUGUGAUGUUUUUUUUUCCAAAGAGAGGUUUCUCUGCGUGCUUGAGGUAUAAUGCAAGUACGGUCGUUUUAAGUUUUACCUAAUGCGGCUAAUCUUUUUUAUACGGAGCGUAUUGGAACGUUAUCGAUAAAAAGAGAGCGUCUAGGCGAACAAUGUUCUUAAAGUUUGACCUCAAAUCAGGUAGGAGUACCCGCUGAACUUAAGCAUAUCAAUAAGCGGAGGAA